rnacentral:lncRNA from 1 species
AUAAAUGCAAGGAACGUGAAGAAAAAAUAAUUUUAGUGUCAUCUGCAAAUGAAAUUGAUGUUCGUCCCUGUCCUCUUAACCCAAAUGAACACAAAGGCACUAUAACUUGGUAUAAAGAUGACAGCAAGACACCUGUAUCUACAGAACAAGCCUCCAGGAUUCAUCAACACAAAGAGAAACUUUGGUUUGUUCCUGCUAAGGUGGAGGAUUCAGGACAUUACUAUUGCGUGGAGACGGAGGACUUGUGUGCCCUUAUAUGGAGUUUUUUAAAAAUGAAAAUAAUGAGUUACCUAAAUUACAGUGGUAUAAGGAUUGCAAACCUCUACUUCUUGACAAUAUACACUUUAGUGGAGUCAAAGAUAGGCUCAUCGUGAUGAAUGUGGCUGAAAAGCAUAGAGGGAACUAUACUUGUCAUGCAUCCUACACAUACUUGGGCAAGCAAUAUCCUAUUACCCGGGUAAUAGAAUUUAUUACUCUAGAGGAAAACAAACCCACAAGGCCUGUGAUUGUGAGCCCAGCUAAUGAGACAAUGGAAGUAGACUUGGGAUCCCAGAUACAAUUGAUCUGUAAUGUC